AGUAAAUUGGUUAAGUUAGAAAGGGCGCACGGUGGAUGCCUUGGCACUAGGAGCCGAAGAAGGACGGGACUAACACCGAUAUGCUUUGGGGAGCUGUACGUAAGCGUUGAUCCAGAGAUUUCCGAAUGGGGGAACCCACUAUCUUUAGUCGGAUAGUAUCCUUACGUGAAUACAUAGCGUAAGGAAGGCAGACCCAGGGAACUGAAACAUCUAAGUACCUGGAGGAAGAGAAAGAAAAAUCGAUUUCCUGAGUAGCGGCGAGCGAAACGGAAAGAGCCCAAACCAAGAAGCUUGCUUCUUGGGGUUGUAGGACACUCUAUACGGAGUUACAAAAGAAAGUUAUAAAUGAAGCGGUCUGGAAAGGCCCGCCAAAGACGGUAACAGCCCGGUAGUUGAAAUGACUUUCCCUCCAGAGUGGAUCCUGAGUACGGCGGAACACGUGA
rnacentral:rRNA from 1 species